rnacentral:rRNA from 1 species
AUUGAACGCUGGCGGCAGGCCUAACACAUGCAAGUCGAGCGGAUGAAGGGAGCUUGCUCCUGGAUUCAGCGGCGGACGGGUGAGUAAUGCCUAGGAAUCUGCCUGGUAGUGGGGGAUAACGUCCGGAAACGGGCGCUAAUACCGCAUACGUCCUGAGGGAGAAAGUGGGGGAUCUUCGGACCUCACGCUAUCAGAUGAGCCUAGGUCGGAUUAGCUAGUUGGUGGGGUAAAGGCCUACCAAGGCGACGAUCCGUAACUGGUCUGAGAGGAUGAUCAGUCACACUGGAACUGAGACACGGUCCAGACUCCUACGGGAGGCAGCAGUGGGGAAUAUUGGACAAUGGGCGAAAGCCUGAUCCAGCCAUACCGCGUGUGUGAAGAAGGUCUUCGGAUUGUAAAGCACUUUAAGUUGGGAAGAAGGGCAGUAAGUUAAUACCUUGCUGUUUUGACGUUACCAACAGAAUAAGCACCGGCUAACUUCGUG